rnacentral:rRNA from 1 species
CACGUAGGGUGCGAGCGUUGUCCGGAAUUACUGGGCGUAAAGGGCGCGUAGGCGGGAUGGCAAGUCGGUCGUGAAAUCCCUCGGCUCAACUGAGGAUCGUCGAUCGAUACUGCCGUUCUUGAGGAUUGCAGAGGAGACUGGAAUUCCCGGUGUAGCGGUGAAAUGUGUAGAGAUCGGGAGGAACACCGGUGGCGAAGGCGGGUCUCUGGGCAAUUCCUGACGCUGAGGCGCGAAAGCGUGGGGAGCAAACGGG